rnacentral:rRNA from 1 species
AGUGGAUGGGGAGCAACCUAUGUUGUGCGUGUGUAAAGGUAGUGCCAAGAAAAGCGAUGAUCAUGUUGAAAAUCAAUUCCCGGUACCCGAAACCGACACAGGUGGGCAAGUAGAGAAUACUAAGGGGCGCGAGGUAACUCUCUCCAAGGAACUCGGCAAAAUGACCCCGUAACUUAGGGAGAAGGGGUGCCACCGAGAGGUGGUCGCAGUGAAGAGGCCCAGGCGACUGUUUAGCAAAAGCAUAGGUCUCUGCAAACUCGAAAGAGGAGGUAUAGGGGCUGACGCCUGCCCAGUGCCGGAAGGUUAAAGAAGUUGGUCAGUUUUAGGAUGAAGCUAGCGACUGAAGCCCCGGUGAACGGCGGCCGUAACUAUAACGGUCCUAAGGUAGCGAAAUUCCUUGUCGGGUAAGUUCCGACCCGCACGAAAGGCGUAACGAUCUGGGCGCUGUCUCGGAGAGAGGCUCGGCGAAAUAGGAUUGUCUGUGAAGAUACGGACUACCUGCAUUUGGACAGAAAGACCCUAUGAAGCUUUACUAUAGCUUGGAAUUGUGUUCGGGCUUCCUGUGCGCAGGAUAGGUGGGAGGCGUAGAAGGUAUUCUUGUGGGGAUACUGGAGCCAACGGUGAGAUACCACUCUCAGGAGGCUAGAAUUCUAACUUAAUUAAGGACAGUUUCAGGUGGGUAGUUUGACUGGGGCGGUCGCCUCCAAAAAGGUAACGGAGGCGUACAAAGGUUCCCUCAGACUGGUUGGAAAUCAGUCGAAGAGUGCAAAGGCAGAAGGGAGCUUGACUGCGAGAAGUACAGUUCGAGCAGGGUGGAAACACGGUCUUAGUGAUCCGACGGUGCUGUGUGGAAGGGCCGUCGCUCAACGGAUAAAAGUUACUCUAGGAUAACAGGCUGAUCUCCCCCAAGAGUUCACAUCGACGGGGAGGUUUGGCACCUCGAUGUCGGCUCAUCGCAACCUGGGGCGGAAGUACGUCCCAAGGGUUGGGCUGUUCGCCCAUUAAAGCGGUACGUGAGCUGGGUUCAGAACGUCGUGAGACAGUUCGGUCCAUAUCCGAUGUAGGCGUGAGAAUAUUGAGAGGAGCCUUCCUUAGUACGAGAGGACCGGGAAGGACGCACCGCUGGUGUACCUGUUAUGAUGCCAAUUGUAAACGCAGGGUAGCCAAGUGCGGAGAGGAUAACCGCUGAAAGCAUCUAAGUGGGAAGCCCACCUCAAGAUGAGUAUUCUGGUGUAAGGUCACGGGAAGACGACCCGUAAAUAGGCACGAGGUGGAAGUGCAGAGAUGUAUGAAGCCGAAGUGUACUAAUAGACCGUCGGCUUGAC